rnacentral:rRNA from 1 species
AUUGAACGCUGGCGGAAUGCUUUACACAUGCAAGUCGAACGGCAGCACGGGGGCAACCCUGGUGGCGAGUGGCGAACGGGUGAGUAAUAUAUCGGAACGUGCCCAGUCGUGGGGGAUAACGUAGCGAAAGUUACGCUAAUACCGCAUACGAUCUACGGAUGAAAGCGGGGGAUCGCAAGACCUCGCGCGAUUGGAGCGGCCGAUAUCAGAUUAGGUAGUUGGUGGGGUGAAGGCUCACCAAGCCAACGAUCUGUAGCUGGUCUGGGAGGACGACCAGCCACACUGGGACUGAGACACGGCCCAGACUCCUACGGGAGGCAGCAGUGGGGAAUUUUGGACAAUGGGCGCAAGCCUGAUCCAGCCAUUCCGCGUGCAGGACGAAGGCCUUCGGGUUGUAAACUGCUUUUGUACGGAACGAAAAAGCCUUGGCUAAUACCCAGGGUCCAUGACGGUACCGUAAGAAUAAGCACCGGCUAACUACGUGCCAGCAGCCGCCGUAA